CAGUUGAAGCAUCUCAGAGUAUCCACAAUGGUUGGGAAGAAUAGGGGGAUAAUGUAAGAGUGAUUAGGAGAGAGAAUGUGGGAAGGGGAGGAAAAAAAAA